UAAUCUGUAGUCAAGCUACAGUGUCUUGUCUGUUAACUGAUGUGGGAUCAAAUGUGAGCAUAAAAUGUGAUCUUGAUGAAAAUGAAGUUUACUGGAUUUUACUCAAAACUCCAGAUCCUCCAACAGUGAUUCUACGAUCACUCUCAACACCAACACCACCUUUUUACUCAAAUAAAUCAUUCAGAAGUAAAUAUUCAGUGCAAUUUAAACAUCGUCUGGUUAUUAAUAACAUCACUGCUAAUGAAUUAGGAGUUUAUUACUGUACCACAGGCACACAGCCAAAAUUCAGCAACAGCACCAGAUUAUACAUCAUCGAACCAACUCAAUCAAGUGAGUUUCACAAUAACACAGAGUGUGAGCAGAAUUCUAAUUGUACUGAGCAGAAUCAGACAAAUUGGCAGACAUUUUUCUUUAUAUCCAGUGUAAUGAAUGGGUUUCUAGUUCUGGUGGUGGUCGGUGAGUUUUUUAUUUAUUUUUUUUAUUUAGACUAUCAUUGUUAUUUUGCCAUUAUUGGGACAUGCAUAUUAGAAUAAAUAUACAAUAAUAAAUCUGAAUUCACUGUUUCAUUUUCAGGACUAAUAAAGUGUUUUGUUGUUGGAAACAGAAGUUCAGCAGAGCAAUCACAAUUCAGGACUGAUCUACCACAGACACAAGUAAUAGAACAACAACAGGACCCAGAUCAAUUACAGUAUGCCACAAUGGACUUUUCCAAGUUUCAUAAAAAAAUGCGCUCCAGCCAACUCAACACCACCUACGCUGCUCUAAACCUGCCAAAAUCAUAAAUGCAAAAGUAGGACUGAUCUCAUGUUAUUUGUUCACUUUCUCUUGAUGUACAUCUCUGACUUUUCUAACCACAAACUUUUUGGCAGCUAAACACUCCAAACAUUAACAAGUCAAACAUUAUUUAGAUAAUAAAAUAAAUUAGUUUAUAUUAAUUUAAUUAAUAUAAGAUUGGGUUGUUAUUUCAUUUUGCUGUCUGAAAACCAGUUGAAAAUCCCCAUUGUAAUUAGUUAUGUAAGUUUAUAAAUGUAACAGUGGAAUAAACAGAAAAAGGUUUUUACCUACAAUUUGGGGUCUGUGGCAUUGUAAAAAAAUCCCAUGCUCAAGCACGUUUUGUUUACAAGUUUCGUUUUUAAGUUAUAGUUCUCAUUUUUUCUUACUGUGUUUUUAAAAAAAAUAUGCUAUUGUCAGCUAUUGUUAAUUGAUUAAAGAAAUUGUUGAUAUUUCCUUUUAACCAUUUUAUUUUAUCUUGAUAAAAAAUAAUUUCAUAUAAUUGAAAAUUUGCGUAUGAAUCUUCGGACUGAAUACUUUUCGGUCUGUAUUCUACUCAGUGCUGUUACACUGAGAUAAUUAUAUAUUUUAUUUCUUUACAUGUAAGAUUGUGUUUAUGUAAUGCUUUUAGAAAUUAAACUGUAGAUGCAUUGGUUAAAUGACCAUACUGUAAUUUUUUAGUCUGCAAAAUGUUUAAUAGUUUGUUUAAUGAUUUAGUCUUUUGUUGUUGUUGUUGUUUAG